GUGGGGAAUAUUGGACAAUGGGCGAAAGCCUGAUCCAGCCAUGCCGCGUGUGUGAAGAAGGUCUUCGGAUUGUAAAGCACUUUAAGUUGGGAGGAAGGGUAGUAACCUAAUACGUUGCUACUUUGACGUUACCGACAGAAUAAGCACCGGCUAACUUCGUGCCAGCAGCCGCGGUAAUACGAAGGGUGCAAGCGUUAAUCGGAAUUACUGGGCGUAAAGCGCGCGUAGGUGGUUUUGUAAGUUGGAGGUGAAAUCCCCGGGCUCAACAUGGGAACUGACUCCAAAACUGCAUGACUAGAGUACGGUAGAGGGUAGUGGAAUUUCCUGUGUAGCGGUGAAAUGCGUAGAUAUAGGAAGGAACACCAGUGGCGAAGGCGACUACCUGGACUGAUACUGACACUGAGGUGCUAAAGCGUGGGGAGCAAACAGGAUUAGAUACCCGUGUAGUCC
rnacentral:rRNA from 1 species